AGGACGCUUUCCUUCGGGAAGCGAGCGUACACAGGUGCUGCAUGGCUGUCGUCAGCUCGUGUCGUGAGAUGUUGGGUUAAGUCCCGUAACGAGCGCAACCCUUGUCCUUAGUUACCAGCACGUUAUGGUGGGCACUCUAAGGAGACUGCCGGUGACAAACCGGAGGAAGGUGGGGAUGACGUCAAGUCAUCAUCGGCCCUUACGGCCUGGGCUACACACGUGCUACAAUGGUCGGUACAAAGGGUUGCCAAGCCGCGAGGUGGAGCUAAUCCCAAUAAAACCGAUCGUAGUCCGGAUCGCAGUCUGCAACUCGACUGCGUGAAGUCGGAAUCGCUAGUAAUCGUGAAUCAGAAUGUCACGGUGAAUACGUUCCCGGGCCUU
rnacentral:rRNA from 1 species